AGAGUUUGAUCCUGGCUCAGAACGAACGCUGGCGGCGUGCCUAACACAUGCAAGUCGAGCGCGAAAGUCCCUUCGGGGGUGAGUAGAGCGGCGGACGGGUGAGUAAUACAUAGGUAAUCUACCUUCGAGCUUGGGAUAACCCUGCGAAAGUGGGGCUAAUACCGGAUAAGACCACGUAAUUAUUUUACGGGGUAAAAGGUGGCUUAUUUUUUAAAUGAGCUAUCACUUGAGGAUGAGCCUGUGGCCUAUCAGCUUGUUGGUGGGGUAAGAGCCUACCAAGGCUAUGACGGGUAGCUGGUCUGAGAGGACGACUAGCCACACUGGGACUGAGACACGGCCCAGACUCCUACGGGAGGCAGCAGUGGGGAAUAUUGGGCAAUGGGCGAAAACCUGACCCAGCGACGCCGCGUGGGCGAUGAAGGCCUUCGGGUUGUAAAGCCCUGUCAUGCGGAAAGAACGACCCUGCGACGCAUAAUCGCAGGGAGUGACGGUACCGCAGGAGGAAGCACCGGCUAACUCCGUGCCAGCAGCCGCGGUAAUACGGAGGGUGCAAGCGUUGUUCGGAAUUAUUGGGCGUAAAGGGCGCGUAGGCGGUAAUGCUAGUCAGAUGUGAGAUACUCCGGCUCAACCGGGGAACUGCAUCUGAAACUGCAUAACUAGAGUACAGAAGAGGGAAACGGAAUUCCCGGUGUAGGGGUGAAAUUCGUAGAUAUCGGGAGGAA
rnacentral:rRNA from 1 species